ensembl:snoRNA
AUCUUUUUGUGGUUCAUUAGCUUGAUAUUGGGUUUUCACACUCUUCUAUGAGAUGUGCCUCGCUCAAAACUUGUUACAACAUUGGCACAUUACCCUUCUGAUG